rnacentral:lncRNA from 1 species
GAGAUGGUAAUAAACCAUGCCUGCAUCCAGGGGGUGGGGAAGAAGGAAAAAAGAUUGCAAUUUCAGAAGUUACAUGCUUCCAAAUCCAUUCAACCUAAAGUUUCACUAUAUAAAUAUACUACAGUCACCUUCUUAGCCCUCCGAUCCACAUUAGAAUUAGGCCCCCCUAUUGAAGAUGUUUCUAACUCCUCUUCUGGUAUAAGCUCCAUUUCCUCACAAAAUGAAAUAAAUUCCUAGAGUGUGGCCAGAUGAAUAAUAUUCAGUAUUACACAAGACAAAAGUAGCUUUAUCAAACGUAUGCAUCAGCAAACACAUAAACUUAAUAAAUUCCAAAGCCUAACACUCUACUUUUGAGUUUGGGUAGAAAAGAAAACAGGAUAAAGUUAAAAUAAAGAAGACAAAGAGGGGAAGAGAUAGUAACUUUCGUCGUUUUUUAGAGUUGAGAGAAAGUGGACAUGGAAGGAAUAAAAUUUUUAGUGUUUGUUAUUUUAAGGGUAGAAGGGGGAUAAUGAAUUUAUUUUAAAGAGUUAAGAUAGCUUUCCACCCAAAUCUUCCCAAUUUUAAGUGGAAAAUUUUGGGUAGAAAGUUGAAGUUAUUUUCCACCAAUUUCUCCUCACUUUAUCUCCGUAAAAAACCUCACAGAUGAGACAUUUGGAAGGAAAUUUUUUAAAAUUCAAUCCUUCCUUUCUUAUCCACCCUUUUAAAACUCACAAGAACAAUGUAAAGGCUGUUACGCUAUAUUACAAUUGCUUCUUUAUGUGCUUCGGGCACAAAACAACAUUCAUCUUUUGACUUUUUUAUUUUAUUUUAUCUUUUGUAAAUGAAUAUCACCUUUAGAUUUGCUAUCGAAGCUUUAAGAAUUUGUAAUCUGUCAUCUAGUGCAGUUUUCUCAGUCAAGUCAGCAAGAAAAUAUGGCACCUGUACCAAAAAAUCAUGAGUAAAUCCCAGUAUAUAUUACAAUCUUCAUAAAACCAGACUGUCUGGAAAUAAUUGUCAUAAAUACCCAGAACAACUCAAACCCAUAUCAGUGUGGUAAAAUUACAUUGCAGCUUGAGAGAGCAGAACAAAAAAAAGGAAGAAAAAGCAGAACGUCAAAAUUAUAGGCACACAAAGUAAUCAUAAAAUCAACAAACGGAUGUUUAACCACAAAUAGAAGCUUGAUAUGGUGCUGAUAAAACCUGACAUGUAAAAUGAAGAGAGUACACAAUCAUAAUUCAUACUAAUCUCACUCGAUUUAAAAAUUUUCAGAUAGGUAAUAAACUAGUAUAGGGAAAAUAAAACCCAUCACACUACCUCUAAACAGGAUUAUGGUUCUUCUCAUAAAUAAAUCUUGACAUAACUAAAAAGGAAACUGGAAGUCAAACGAAUUGAAUGUCUGUUAUGUUUUUUUUAAAUUAAAGAUUUGACAGUUAGACAUGGUAACCGACAUUAAAAACCAAUUUUUCCUCCUUUUAGAUGCUAAGAAAAUACAUAGGAGAUCAGUUUUGGUUUUCACUUUAGAUUGCCAGUGUUGGGUACAAGACAGGAAAAGGACAUCACUGAGCUAAGCCUAAUACAACUAAAGGCUGCAAUUCAACUUGACUUUCCCAUUAUUGCCAAUAUGUUCCAUGAAACAAAGAAUAGUGAAAUUUGUAUGCAAUAACUACUAAAAUUGAGAUAUGCCAGUUUUAGCAAUCCUGGUCAUUAGUGAUGAGGGAAAUAUAAUAGAAAAUGUUAAUUUUUCGUUUCUAUUUCUAUUUCUCUGAAAUUUUUCUAAGCAAACACACCAUAAAUUGAAAAUUUAAAGUUGAUACUAAGAAACAAAGAAGAGCAUAGAAAUACGAGAUUUGUAGUGCUAAUAUCAUCUUUGGACUCGUUGGCCGAAGAAAUGAAAUGAAUUUAUAGAAUAAAUUCAAAUGAAGAGAUCAGAAAUCAUCAUCCCAGCCUCACAUAAUAUUUAAGGGGAAAAAACAUCAUAAAAUAAAGAAUAUCAGCACAAAUUCCAUCAUAUUCCAAAAUUUCACAUCAUCACAAUGUCUGCGGUUUUGUGUUUUUAGUACUUAUAACUCUGCUGCAAUAAAGGGGCUAAGCGUUGAACCCCAAACAAGUCGAUAAGAUAUAGCAGUACAAGAAGUAUCUGCUAAAAAUAAAUAUUAAAGUAAAGACGAGGAAAAAAUUAGCAAGUCCUGCUGCUCUGGAAGCUUAACAGGACUCGUGCCUAAAUCAACAAAAACAUGUGGAAGAUGGAACUUCAGUGAGCAGAAUGCCAUUCCAGUGACAACAAUUCAGAAGGAAAUUUUCACUAUUUCAACUAUGUAGUUUUAGUAAUAAGGAGUAAAAGAAGAAACUUUGACACCCUUGGCAAGUAAACUUUUAUCUCGUCUGUCAUAUACUAAAGUUCUUAUUUAUAAGAGAUCAAACCUCGGAUUAAAUGAAAUUUUUUGUAUCCGUCCACUCUUUCAUGGCCUGUUUUUAGCAGACUCCAUCUCCAGCAAUUCUGCAAAGUGAAAGAGAAAAUGCACCGCAACGUCAGACAAGAGGAAAGCAUGACAAGUAAGGAUCCAGACUUUGUGACUCAAACUAGGAAAGACGGCAGCCUUAAAACAGAUAAUUGGUUGUGUUUCAGAGCAUCUCAGGCUGAUUUCUAGUGCCCAUGAGAGAUUUUGGUGUACUAACCAUAAUGUAGCUUGCAGCUGUUUCAGAGCAUCUCAUGCUUGCAUCUUAAUAAUUAUUAUGGGUCAUCAAAAAACACUUAUUCCCAAUACCAGACUGGGACCAAAUGAUCUGAUCAUGUCAGAUAACUACAGGAAUAGAAGAAAUGAGUGUCGAUCCGCUAUCCUUAAAAAGCACCAAGAAACUUGCCAGCACAAGUAUUUUGUAAGAGAAACUGCUCUAUUACAUCUUCAUUCUGAGCAACUGUUAAACUACACCAUCAAAAGGUGAAAGAAAAAGAGGAUUUAAAUUUUCUUAACCUACCUAGAAACUCUAUAACUUCAGAACGAACACCUGCAAGUGUUGUACACAAGGAUCCUCCAACUUUUAGCAAUUUGAAAGCAUUUGUUAGUAGUAGUAACU